rnacentral:rRNA from 1 species
GCCAGACUCCUACGGGAGGCAGCAGUGGGGAAUAUUGCACAAUGGGGGAAACCCUGAUGCAGCAACGCCGCGUGAGUGAAGAAGUAUUUCGAUAUGUAAAGCUCUAUCAGCAGGGAAGAAGAUGACGGUACCUGAGUAAGAAGCCCCGGCUAACUACGUGCCAGCAGCCGCGGUAAUACGUAGGGGGCAAGCGUUAUCCGGAUUUACUGGGUGUAAAGGGAGCGUAGACGGCAUAGCAAGUCUGAAGUGAAAGCCCAGGGCUCAACCAUGGGACUGCUUUGGAAACUGUUAAGCUGGAGUGCUGGAGAGGUAAGCGGAAUUCCUAGUGUAGCGGUGAAAUGCGUAGAUAUUAGGAAGAACACCAGUGGCGAAGGCGGCUUACUGGACAGUAACUGACGUUGAGGCUCGAAAGCGUGGGGAGCAAACAGGAUUAGAUACCCCGGUA